rnacentral:rRNA from 1 species
GGCUACACACGUGCUACAAUGGGUAGUACAGAGAGUCGCGACCCUGUGAGGGUGAGCUAAUCUCAGAAAACUAUUCUUAGUUCGGAUUGUACUCUGCAACUCGAGUACAUGAAGUUGGAAUCGCUAGUAAUCGCAAAUCAGCAAUGUCGCGGUGAAUACGUUCUCGGGUCUUGUACACACCGCCCGUCACACCACGAGAGUUGGUUGCACCUGAAGUAGCAGGCCUAACCGUAAGGAGGGAUGCUCCGAGGGUGUGAUUAGCGAUUGGGGUGAAGUCGUAACAAGGUAUCCGUACGGGAACGU